rnacentral:rRNA from 2 species
GUUGAAUGACGUGCUCGCACUGAUUUCAACAAUGAAGCGAGUGGCGAACUGGUGAGUAACACGUGGGGAAUCUGCCCAGAAGCAGGGGAUAACACUUGGAAACAGGUGCUAAUACCGUAUAACAACAAAAUCCGCAUGGAUUUUGUUUGAAAGGUGGCUUCGGCUAUCACUUCUGGAUGAUCCCGCGGCGUAUUAGUUAGUUGGUGAGGUAAAGGCCCACCAAGACGAUGAUACGUAGCCGACCUGAGAGGGUAAUCGGCCACAUUGGGACUGAGACACGGCCCAAACUCCUACGGGAGGCAGCAGUAGGGAAUCUUCCACAAUGGACGAAAGUCUGAUGGAGCAAUGCCGCGUGAGUGAAGAAGGGUUUCGGCUCGUAAAACUCUGUUGUUAAAGAAGAACACCUUUGAGAGUAACUGUUCAAGGGUUGACGGUAUUUAACCAGAAAGCCACGGCUAACUACGUGCCAGCAGCCGCGGUAAUACGUAGGUGGCAAGCGUUGUCCGGAUUUAUUGGGCGUAAAGCGAGCGCAGGCGGUUUUUUAAGUCUGAUGUGAAAGCCUUCGGCUUAACCGGAGAAGUGCAUCGGAAACUGGGAGACUUGAGUGCAGAAGAGGACAGUGGAACUCCAUGUGUAGCGGUGGAAUGCGUAGAUAUAUGGAAGAACACCAGUGGCGAAAGGCGGCUGUCUAGUCUGUAACUGACGCUGAGGCUCGAAAGCAUGGGUAGCGAACAGGAUUAGAUACCCUGGUAGUCCAUGCCGUAACGAUGAGUGCUAAGUGUUGGAGGGUUUCCGCCCUUCAGUGCUGCAGCUACGCAUUAGCACUCCGCUGGGGAGUACGAC